rnacentral:rRNA from 1 species
UACAGAGGUGGCAAACGUUGUUCGGAAUUACUGGGCGUAAAGGGCGCGUAGGCGGCCUUCUAAGUCAGACGUGAAAUCCCCCGGCUUAACCUGGGAACUGCGUCUGAUACUGGGAGGCUUGAGUAUGGGAGAGGGAUGUAGAAUUCCAGGUGUAGCGGUGAAAUGCGUAGAUAUCAAGAGGAACACCUGAGGUGAAGACGGGUUGCUGGGCCGACACUGACGCUGAGUGCGCGAAAGCCAGGGGAGCAAACGGG